rnacentral:rRNA from 1 species
GACGAACGCUGGCGGCGUGCUUAACACAUGCAAGUCGAACGGUGAAGCGCCUUCCUGUUUGGUGGGUGUGGAUGAGUGGCGAACGGGUGAGUAACACGUGAGUAUACUGCCCCCUUCUUCGGGAUAACAGCAGGAAAGUGUGGCUAAUACGGGAUAUUCUGGGGCAGUAGCAUGAUGGGUCUGGGAAGGAUAUUGGUUCGGUGGGGGAUGGGCUCGCGGCCUAUCAGCGUGUUGGUGGGGUGGAGGCCUACCGAGGCGGUGACGGGUAGCCGGCCCGGGAGGGUUGACUGUCUGACUGGGGCUGAGGCCCGGCCCCGCCUGGUACGAGACGCGGCCGUGGGGACUAUUGCACGAUGCGGGCGAGCCUGAUGCAGCGUCGCCGCGUGCCGGAUGGAGCCCUGCGGGUUGUGAGCCUCUUUCGCCAGUGAUGCAGGCCUGCCUCGUUUGUGAGUGUGUUGACGGUAGCAGGAUAAGAAGCGCCGGCUAACUACGUG